rnacentral:rRNA from 1 species
GACGAACGCUGGCGGCGUGCCUAACACAUGCAAGUCGAACGGAAACGCCCGGCUUUGGGGGGGUGCUCGAGGUGCGAACGGGUGAGCAACCCGUGAGUAACCUGCCCCUGCCUGUGGGAUAACUUCAGGAAACUUGGUCUCAUACCGGAUAGGAUCUCCUGCUGCAUGGUGGGGCCUGGAUAGUUUAGGUGGUUGGGGAUGGAAUGGCGUCCCAUCAGAUUGUUGGUGGGGUAGUGUCUUACCAAGAUCUGGCCGGGUUGCAGUCCUGGAAGGGUGACCGGCCACAUUGGACCUGAGAUGCGACCCAGACCCCUCUGGGAGGCAGCGGUGGAGAAUGUUACACAAUGGGCGGGGGCAUGAUGCAGCAAAGCCGCGUGCGGGAUGACGUGCUUCGGUUUGUAAACCGCUUCCGCCUGUGACGAAGCGUGAAUGACGGUAAUGGGUGAAGAAGCACCGGCUAACUACGUG